GAGGUCUUAGCUUAAUUAAAGUGUCUGAGUUGCAAUCAGGAGAUGUAUUUAAAGUUUUACAGGCCUU
rnacentral:tRNA from 1 species